UGGGGAAUAUUGGACAAUGGGCGCAAGCCUGAUCCAGCCAUGCCGCGUGUGUGAAGAAGGCCUUCGGGUUGUAAAGCACUUUCAGCGAGGAGGAAGGGAGUUGUGUUAAUAGCACAGCUUCUUGACGUUACUCGCAGAAGAAGCACCGGCUAACUCUGUGCCAGCAGCCGCGGUAAUACAGAGGGUGCAAGCGUUAAUCGGAAUUACUGGGCGUAAAGCGCACGUAGGCGGUUUUUAAGUCAGAUGUGAAAGCCCCGGGCUCAACCUGGGAAUUGCAUUUGAAACUGGAAAACUAGAGUGUGUGAGAGGGGGGUAGAAUUCCAAGUGUAGCGGUGAAAUGCGUAGAGAUUUGGAGGAAUACCAGUGGCGAAGGCGGCCCCCUGGCACAACACUGACGCUCAGGUGCGAAAGCGUGGGGAGCAAACAGGAUUAGAUACCCGCGUAGUCCCUGAGCGGGCUGGCAAGGCGCAU
rnacentral:rRNA from 1 species